CCUACGGGAGGCAGCAGUGAGGAAUUUUCCGCAAUGGGCGAAAGCCUGACGGAGCAAUACCGCGUGAGGGAUGAAGGAUUUUGGUCUGUAAACCUCUUUUCUCAAGAAAGAAGUUCUGACGGUACUUGAGGAAUAAGCAUCGGCUAACUCCGUGCCAGCAGCCGCGGUAAUACGGGGGAUGCAAGCGUUAUCCGGAAUGAUUGGGCGUAAAGCGCCUGUAGGUUGUUUAUUAAGUCCGUUGUUAAAGCCUAGGGCUUAACCCUAGAAAAGCAAUGGAAACUAGUAGACUAGAGUAUGGCAGGGGUAGAGGGAAUUUCUAGUGUAGCGGUGAAAUGCGUAGAUAUUAGAAAGAACACCGGUGGCGAAAGCGCUCUACUGGACCAUUACUGACACUCAGAGGCGAAAGCUAGGGUAGCAAAAGGGAUUAGAUACCCCUGUAGUCCUAGCCGUAAACGAUGGAUACUAGAUGUUGUGCAUUAUGUACAGUAUCGUAGCUAACGCGUUAAGUAUCCCGCCUGGGGAGUACGCUCGCAAGGGUGAAACGUCAAAGGAAUUGACGG
rnacentral:rRNA from 1 species